rnacentral:rRNA from 1 species
ACCCGCUGAACUUAAGCAUAUCAAUAAGCGGAGGAAAAGAAACCAACAGGGAUUGCCUCAGUAACGGCGAGUGAAGCGGCAACAGCUCAAAUUUGAAAUCUGGCCUCAUGGCCCGAGUUGUAAUUUGUAGAGGGUGUCUCGGGCGCGACGCCGGUCUAAGUUCCUUGGAACAGGACGUCACAGAGGGUGAGAAUCCCGUACGUGACCGGCCGUCAACCCCAUGUGAGACCCCUUCGACGAGUCGAGUUGUUUGGGAAUGCAGCUCUAAAUGGGUGGUAAAUUUCAUCUAAAGCUAAAUACCGGCCAGAGACCGAUAGCGCACAAGUAGAGUGAUCGAAAGAUGAAAAGCACUUUGGAAAGAGAGUUAAACAGUACGUGAAAUUGUUGAAAGGGAAGCGCUUGCAACCAGACUUGCCGCGGUGAUCAGCGUCUUCGGGGCGGUGCACUCUCCGCGAUCAGCCAGCAUCGGUUCGCGCAGAAUAAGACUUUCGG